rnacentral:rRNA from 1 species
UACGAAGGGUGCAAGCGUUACUCGGAAUUACUGGGCGUAAAGCGUGCGUAGGUGGUUCGUUAAGUCUGUCGUGAAAGCCCCGGGCUCAACCUGGGAAUGGCGAUGGAUACUGGCGGGCUAGAGUGCGGUAGAGGAGAGUGGAAUUCCCGGUGUAGCAGUGAAAUGCGUAGAGAUCAUGAGGAAGACCAGUGGCGAAGGCGGGUCUCUGGACAGUUCCUGACACUGAGACACGAAGGCCAGGGGAGCAAACGGG